rnacentral:misc_RNA from 1 species
UCUGUGAAAUUUUUUAUGUUAAAAGGAUAGGUUACUUUUUUUUUGGGUUAGCAAAGGAUAGGUAGCCUACCGUUAUAAUCCUGACCAUUCUUAAUUGUGAAUGCACUUUACCUUCUAAACAUUGUAAAAUGUCAAUUGGUAUUUCUCAAUUUUCUUCCAAAUCGUUACAAGUACUUUAGUGAUCUGUUUACGAGAGAGCCCUAAUUCAUCAAAAUUUGGCCACUACUCUGAGUGUCAGAUCUCCCAAGAUGGGAUUGGUUCUAAUACUAAUUGAUAUGAACCGAACCGAACAAGUUUUUUCCUCAGUAAUAUAAGAUCAUAACAAUUGGUUGAAAUUAUGGAGGAUCAAGAAGGAAAAGGGAACAAAUGAUGAGGGGAAUGGCUUGUGGGUUAUUGCGUGCGAGGAGAAAUAGCAAGGCAGUGUUAUGCUUUGCUGGGAAAAUGGAGAAAACAGGGUGAAUAGGUUUCUUCGCUUGAUUAGUGAGUGUGAAUGGGGUGGAGAAGAAUUAAUACCAAAGACAACAUAUAGGCACUUCAAGAAAGAUAAAAUCAAGUUUAAGACAAAGUAAGAUGACCUACCACUUUUCUUCCCCUUGACUAUGCAACAUUAUGACUAUCCUGAAAUAUUAUUCUGCUCUAGCACAUCAAAAUGCUAC